rnacentral:pre_miRNA from 1 species
AAAUCUUGGCUGUGAGGACCUGCUGUGUCUAUAACGGAAGAAUUGCUGUGCUGGAGAUACAGUAGGGCUUUGGUGCUCACUGAGU